AACUCCAUGUGUAGGCUGCUCAGACAAUAAACCAUCGGUUCCAUCUAAACGCACACACUGAACUUAAACUAUCCAUAUGACCUUUAAAGUACAACUUUGACCAGCAUUUUUAUUAAAAGACAUAACAUGUCGAAAAAAAGAUAAGAAAAUAUUUUAAAAAUAAUUUCGUAAUGUAUAUCUUAUAUUGAUAAUUGAUGUAGAUCUUUUAUAUAUCGAUGAUCAAUGUUAGAAAACUUUGGCGAACAAAAAUCCUGAAACAACAUGCAUUUUAAUUAAUCGGAGGGAGUAUUAGGGAGCGAGUAUAACUCAAACCAGGUUUAUUGGGAUGCUUGAGCAGAGUGACCAUGAAUUGUUGAGGUCUUUGCCUAUCUUUCCUUAUCAGAAGAUCGAUUUCUGUAGAGGACGGACACUAGAAGGCCGUACUUUGGCCCUUGCGAAAAUGAAUCCGUAGAUUUUACCUUUGUGGAUGGAGCGAAUACAUUUUUUUUUCUUCAGUACAUAUUGCAUAGUGUGUUGCAAACUAAAUCACAUUUUGCGAAUUUUGUGUCUGCUAGGACAUUUAUGCACUGCCUUGUAUAUAAAAACAUAUAUUCGUGGUGGCGACCGAGCAAAUUGGACGAGUAUGGUCCUAAAUCUAAAUCACGAUCUUUUAGGGAUGAUGCUCGAAGGUGAUAUUUGUCGGCUCCAUGCCAACAUAUUCUGUUGUUGAUUUUGUCAGAUGAAAAUACAACCUCGGAAUAUGUUUAUCAAAUGUGAACCUCGAUCGUGGAAUAAGAUGUAUAUGCAUGAUACGAUAUAUAUAU
rnacentral:lncRNA from 1 species